UUUUUCCUACGGGACGCAGCAGUGAGGAAUAUUGGUCAAUGGGCGCGAGCCUGAACCAGCCAAGUCGCGUGAGGGAAGACGGUCCUAUGGAUUGUAAACCUCUUUUGUCGGGGAGCAAAAGACGCCACGCGUGGCGUUCCGAGAGUACCUGAAGAAAAAGCAUCGGCUAACUCCGUGCCAGCAGCCGCGGUAAUACGGAGGAUGCGAGCGUUAUCCGGAUUUAUUGGGUUUAAAGGGUGCGUAGGCGGAAUGCCAAGUCAGCGGUAAAAUCGCGGGGCUCAACCUCGCUCCGCCGUUGAAACUGG
rnacentral:rRNA from 1 species